AAUCUACCAUUAACUGGUGGUACGGUAGGUCUGGGACACCCUGUAUAAUAAUAAAGAAACAUGACCCAGAUGAUUACAAGAUUUUCAGAUUAAUGGCUAAACGACUUGUACGACUAUUUAAUGUCUUAAGAGAUAACAAUAACGUCGAAAACGCGUUAAACGCGUUAAACAACGACACAGAAUGUAUUAUUUACGUGCGUGCAUAAUUAUUAACGUUCCCCAGAGGGGAAACGGAUGUUGCUGAAAUUCUCGGCAUUUGCUGUGUCUCACGGGACGUCUUUAAUAUUGUAUUUCCAGGAAGUUCCACCAGAAUGGCGAGGGAUACUUUCCGAAAGUUUCGAUCUGAAAUUCCGCUUUCACGGCUAAUGAAGUGAAUAUUUCACAAAUACCUUUUACUACACACCAAUUACGAUGAAACAUUCCAGCGCAACGACGAGUUAUUCUUCAUUUAAGAAAUACGACGAUGAAAUGCGAAAUUGUUUACAUUAAGAUUAUUCAAGAUUUGUCUUUCUUCGCUUGAAUUUUUCACGCAUCGCGCAUCUAAUUUCGUAACAUAAAAGGCCAAAUAUAUACUUUACGGAAUGAAAAGCUUCUCUAUUAAUGGGGUGUGCCUUUGUGGCAUUUCGAUCCGCCAGCCGUUAUGGCAGUUGUAGUUACGGUACGUACGUACAUGUAACGUGUUGGAUCAACGAACUUAUCGUGGUCGCCGGAAGGCGGAAAUUCUUGGGCAAUCCCGUCUACUAGAUACAUCUUACUUCUCGUCGAGCAAUCCCAGAAAUGCUUCACUUGGAAUGCCACAAAUUCCAAGAAGGGCGAGGGAAAUGGAGAAUGGUCCUCGCAGCCUCGUUAAAGUCAAGCCGCCGAAGGAUGUACUACCGACGAAACAAAUUUAAUUCAAUUUGCUUAACGUACACGAAAUGCUGGAGUCGUAAGACUGGAUUAUAUAAAUUUCUUCAAUUAUAACACUGUCCGACAAAAUCUGACCUUUUUUUUGUAACACGAGUGUGAAUAGUCAUUUCCGAUGUAUUUUUGCCUGCUGAAUACGAAUCCGUUGUCUAAAUUUGGCUAUCACGUCACAAUUUUGAGUAAAAUAGCGUCAAAGAGGCCAAAAACGACGAUUUUGAGUCUUCAUGACGUUGUAGCACCGGCAGCAAAUUUUCCCCCAAAUUUCGCUUAUGCCAUGUGAAAGUGUGAACUUUUAGCUUUAAAAUGCGCGUGGUUUUGUUUCGGUGUGAAUUUUCGUUUUCGAGAUAUAGCAAUUUGAAAAUAGUUCUUUUUCCCAUAGAAAAGUCAUUCCUUCUUAAUGCUGCAUUAUGUGAAAAAUAAGUGCUUUUAUAUAAUAAAAUCACAUUACAUCAAAAAGCAAUAAAAAAUAGAUAGAAUACAAUAGGCAGAAAGAUUAUAAAAGAAUAUCCGUAUGUGUGUAAUUGUGUAUGCACUAAUAAAAGUGCACAUUUUCACAUGACAUAAGCGAAAUUUGGGAAAAAAAUUUGCUACCGGUGCUACAACGUCAUGAAAACCUUCAAAAUCAUCGUUUUUGGCCUCUUUGACUCCAUUUUUCUCAAAAUUGUGUGACGUGAUAGCCAAAUUUGGAUAACGAAUUCGUAUUCAGCAGGCAAAAAUACAUCGGAAAUGACUAUUCACACUCGUGUUACAAAAAUGGUAUUGGACAAUGUUAUCGCAUGCGUUCUAUGUGAAAAGAAAUGAAACAAUUUUUCUCUCUAUAACAUCACCCGUUUGUGCUUCAAAUAUGCGGCUCAAAAUGAUUGUUACUUAUCAUUAUUCAUUAUCAUCGGCGAUCACUGUUAUUCGCAUCUAGCAAUUAAUAGCAUUUAUUAUGUUUGUGUAAAAAAUUUAAUGUGCAACAGGUGCAACUUAAUGUCAUGUGAGUAUAGCUAUUUAUAAUUUCAUUAACGUGAUGUGUACGAUCCAUAAUUUUGCACCUAACGACCAAUUUCUCCUUCCUUCCUGUAUACGGCCUUUGAUCGAAUCUUCAUAUUGCACUGCGAAAUCAAUAAACUCAUCAAUUCAAAAUUCCAAGUCUGCUGAGUGAUGAUGACCCAUGGUGAAAUCUUGUCAUUGGUGAACACUAUUGUUAUGCAAUUGCACGGUUUGACUAACAAAACCCGACGUAUGCGCUUACAAAGCAGGCGAAUCUCAUGCAGCGCAGAGAGAGAGAGAGAGUGUUUCCUAUCUCGCGGAUAAUCGAAUAUCGGCUUGAAGAUUCAGAGCACACGCGUUCAUCGACGAACGAGAUGGUAAAAGACCGGUCGGAGAUUCUGUGAGAAUCUCAACGUACAGCGCGGCGUCAGCCCAAUCCCGGUGCACUCGGCGAAGCCGUGCGAUCGGUGUCACUCGCGAAAUCAAUUUUGGCUGCUCGUCUGCUCAUGAAAAAUGAAAUAUCUCCCGCCCGACGAUCGGGGCAUCGCGUCGCGUCUUUCGAUCCACUAUUCGCGCGUUAAAACUUUCAGCGGCUUUUAGACGUCUAGAUGAAGAAUCCAAUGUUAAAUUCACGCUCAUUUGUUCGUACAACGCUCGAGAUUUUUCUCGAUGAUGGUAUCAUCGUCCCUGAUCGCAUCGAUGUAAAUCCAAACAUUUGGACGUGUUCGUACCUACGGGGCGUAACAACGAUCAUUAUUGUUUCACGUUUUAACGACUAUAAUUGUAACGGACAUGCAUUGAAAGAUGCGCGUUCACGUAACACGCACAAUGCGUCAACCGAUGCACAUCGAUGCCUUGCCUCGGUUUGUAUGCGUUCGACGAUGCAGAAACUUAUCCAACCGCGACGAUGGCGAUACAAUAAUCGCGUAUCGAUAAAAAGAAGUCGGUGACGAGAACGCUGCACCAAAGCAAAAGGGAGAGACAGAGAGAGAGAAUUCCGCACUGUAUUAUUGUAUUAUUUUCUUAUAUAUAAUAUCAUAUAAUAUCGCCGAGACAGUUAAUAAAAUCAAGAUAAAGAAUCGCGGGAAGCACAUUGAUGGAGGAAAUAAAGUAGAAAACAAAGCGGGAGCGCAUGUAAUCGCUCGAUCGCGGGAUUAUAAAAGGGCCGACGGGGUGAAGGAACACAGGCGGUGCAGAGGUAGGUCGUAAAGGGGCGGAGAAAAAGGUAAGACGGGAGAGAGGUCUCGCAAGUAGGUCGCAUCUCUCGGCUCGAUAUCGCCGAACGCUCUUUUAUGUCGUUCGUUAAAUUGGGUUACGGGAGUGCUGGCCGCUCAACAAAAAAAUGCGCCGGAGUACCUUUUUGAUGGCUACGAUUUGAUGGAUAAAGCGGCACCCUUACGCUAACCGAGCGUAUUCGCAAGAUGACCGAUGACCUGAGCUCGCGUUAGGCUCCAACGAUGCUAAUGCUGGGAAAUCGCUGGAUGCGUGUCAUCUCGAGGGAAAGGUAAUGACACGUGAUUUUUGAAAAAAGACAAAUUGCAUCGAAACUCGAAAUCGGAUGCGAGGACCAAUAGAGAAUGCUACACGUAAAGUCUUACAAUUUUGCGGGGUAAAUUGUCUAAAAGUAAGUCGCUCCGAAAACGCGUUAAAAUGAAUUUGAAUCGCCGCACGGAAGAGAAACUUGCGGGGAAGAGCGAUAAGAUGUGCCGGAAGCCGACAGCUUGAAGUUUCCAAGCCGUAACGUCAUGGUGCUUACGUCGAACGUCAUUUAGAGUUGUAGCUUCGCACGGACGGAAAGUUCGAACCUCCGGUACUUGACGUAAGCCGCACGUAAGCAAGACGAAAAUAGGGAGGAACAAGAAGAAUGCGAGGAAGGAAUAUGUCGGCCCUCGAGCGAGAACGUCUUCACGUUAUACGUUUCGAUCUUCAUCUUCGAGGGCCCGCUGCGUGCAAUUCAUCAUUUUUGAAAGGAUAGAUUUCGAAAGAAAGUGGCUCUCGAGAGCGAGUGGCGCCACGGACGGUUUUUCUACUACAUCUGUCAAUCCUCAUGGAAAAAAUAUUUGUACGUUUAUCAGAUCGAUUGUGUUUUUGAUGCCUCUAGCAGCUCUAACAGCUCUGAGCUCUGAUGAGUUAGGUCCACCAUCCGGAUGACUCUUUCCUCCAUGGUGCGCGCUUGUGUGUGUAGGUGUGUGCAAUCAUCGGCAAUUGUAUCGGCCAAUAGGUUGACUUAAUACGAGAUACAAUUAUUCCAACGAAAUAACAAUGCGCACGCGUCGUAAAGUGGCCACGAGGAUAAUUCGUGGCCCGAAACUGGUCGCGCUCGCCUCUCGUCCCCCGAGCGACUUGUAUUCGAUCGAUAGGUCGUUGCAUUCCGUGUGCGGGCGUUCGUUUCGCGACCGAUGCAAUUGCGCAUACACAAGCGUCCUAAUCGGCGGUUCGUGCAACUCGAUUCUCGGCCACGAAUGAUCGCACGAAAUCAAGGUAGGUACGGGGUUAAUUUGCACGAGGGCGACUUUAGUACGAACGAUAAUCCGACAACUCGAGGCAACCCCCGACAAUCCCCCUGCUGAGAUAAUUAAAUGCCGCUUUCCCGAUCGAUCGGAUUAUUUUCGGCGAUCGGGGAAAUACAUUCGCUGCGACGUGACGCCAGUACCAAACAGUUUUACGGAAACGUUGGGAUCACAUUUCGGGAGAAACAGUGUUAAAAUAACGUUAAAGAAAAGCUGAUUCCACGACUCCGUUAAAGAAGCUACUCGUCUUUCAGUGGAGGAUCUCUCAACUGGUAUCUUUCUUUGUACGACAUGAGGAUUGUUUUCAUGUAUCACGAUAUAUAUAUGAAUAAUAUACUUCAAUAACAAUUUGAUAUCGUGCAAAAAUACGAUAAAAAACAUCCGUGAUACACAUAAUAUAUUUACUAAAAUUACAAUAUUUCCGGGGCAUCUCUUCUACGACGGAGUUGGAGGAGGCGUUCUACCCUUUGCGCGUUACUUUAAUAUCUCUCGUUCACGCGAUACCGACGUUUCCCUCGAGCUAUUUGGCACGUACUAAUUUGCGAUUAGUGAUAUUUUUUCGAUCAUUGCAUUAUCAGGCAAAUGAUAAUUCUUGUAGAAACCGUGCAUGGAAUGUCUUUUGCACCGUGCAACGAUAAAGAAAGCAAACUGAUUUGACGAAUAAUUAUUUACGUUGACGAUCAACGAUUAAAAACAUAUCAAUUGCGAGGUGUGUAUUGUAGGCAUACGACGAGGAUUGCGCUCGUCGUUGCCCAAGGAAAGAGAAAAAAACGAGCGAUAAUUGAUGAUUACGCUUCUUUUUGUGCGAGUCGGACAUGCGAGACACGUGAGGUCACCCAUUUCCCGUUCCCAGGAAUUAUACCUCGACUUUCGAGCCGCGUCGCAUUCCACGACGUCCGACUGUUCAAUUGAAAAUCCCAAUAUGUCGAUCCCCAUCGACACUACCAACGUACUCUGAGGCUUCCCUUCGUCAUUCCGGCGUGUUCUGGAAUUCAAAGGACUCCUACAUGCACACGCAUACCCUGUGACCCAAUAUCAAACAUCAACCGGACAUAUGGAAAAGAUUGAAUCGCCGAAGAAUAAAUUAGAUCAAAAGGGCAAGUUUCUCUCAGUGUUAUAUAUUUGUAAAUUCCAUUAUCAAUCUCGAAUUGUGAUUACUACAAUUACAUUCAAUUACAGUUCGUAACAGCUGUAGAGGAAGGUUCUAACUGUCGGGAAAGCAUUCCCCGUGCGGGCGCGCCGCAAAAUGAAUACCGAUUCGCUCAGGGAUAUCGGGACGGAAAUUUAUUUUAGUGCGUCGACAUUGAGCCUAACCCGCGUGCAACAGGUGAUUACAUGCGUUCGGCAAAUAUCCCCCGAUUAAAUGUCAUCGUACACCGUCAACUCUCUCGACGCGACAGCGCAAUUCCGAUUACGCAAUUUUGAUUACGCGAUUUCGGACGACGCGGACGUCACCGAUCGCAUUGCGCUGAGAAUGAUCCAUACGCGGCAUACAAAGACCGCGAGAUGGGAUCACGCGUGCCCUAGUCAUUAAGGUAUAAACGUCGAGGCAAGUAUUUCUUAAUUAGCGACGCGGCACUUCGACGGGACUUAUACCUCGUGGUGUCUUGAGGUAAGUUGAGCCCGUUCCCCUCACAACUCGCUCGUAGAUCACGAUUUGCUCUAAGUGCCUUAAGUUCCAUGUCGACGUCGACACCGAGAAAUGAUCGUAAACGACUCGUGAUAUAAGCCAGUGCACAACGUCGCAAAUUGACGGGCACCUCGUGAGAGCCUGUUACAUUUAUAGCCUGUUAUAUGUAUAAUAUAAAUGUGUAUGUUACGUGUACAAGCUCACAUUCGAGAGCUAGAUACAUGACGAGCGAUGUACUUUACCUGAGAAAGUGUUUCCGAUCUGUCAGAAUCAUUAAAACGUCCAGCGAUGAUACGUUACGUAAGACAAAACUGUGCCAGCAGUCUUAACGAGUAAUGCAAACUUUAAUUUAACGGAAACAUAUUUUUACUAUUUUUAUAAAAGGAAGAAAUAUCAGUUUCGAAUUUUCGUAUUUUUAAAUGUAUUUGUUAAGCUUGGGAAUAAAUUUGAGAAACAUUUUUAGGAAAAAAAUAUUUUCAUGAAUAUUAUUAUUUCGCGCGGGUCACCCUCGACUUAGUUUCUAUCGCGAAUGUUUGCAUUCGUUGCAUUUUAAUGUCACUGCAAAUCUCGACGUAAACGCGAGAUUGAGGCCGACGAUAUCGACCGCAAUUUUUACUCGGAUGUAAAUACAUAUUUAGAUUCACGACAAGUUUGCAGCGCGGAAAUAUCGGUCGUCUUAUACCGAUUACGUAUGCAUUAUACAGUACAAAGCUGUUCGCUUUCUUUGACAGGCUUAAAAACCGAUCUUCCAGCAGCAAAUUUUUACGAGCUCUCUCUUUCUCUCUUUCUUUUUCUCUUUGUUAACAAUCAGUACAAACCGGUAAAACCAAUAUAUAAUUUUUACAAAGUUUAAUCUUGAUGAUAAUAUACAAGAUGAAUCCAGUAAUAUUCUUUCUUUGAAGAAAGAAAGAGAAAUUUUUAUUUCUAAUCAUCCUGGAAAAAAAUCAAACUUGCACAAGCUGUCACGAUUUCAUUGCCAUGAAUAAACACAGAUAUUUAAUCGAAAUUGGAUUUCACUGGGAGGAUAUCGGUUGUAGUGAUGCAAACGCUGUUGAUACAAUUGCGUACAGUUUAACUUUUUCUGCUACAGGUCUAUCUCGGAUUUUUCGUACCACAGCAUUAAAAUAUUCAAAAAAGCAGAAUUCCACGAGCCUCCGUGGCGCAAUCGGCUAGCGCGUUCGGCUGUUAACCGAAAGGUUGGUGGUUCGAGCCCACCCGGGGGCGGCUGCUUUUUUUCUUUUUUUUUCCAUGUAUGUAAUCCGCAAUGUUUCUUGCAAAAAUAAUUCUUAUGCAAAUUACACUUUUCCUAGAAACUGGUAAUCUGAACAGAAAAGUAUAAUAUAUUGUUGCACUUAAUAAUGAAAAAAAAAGAUUAAUUGUAAGAUCAAUCGAUCUCCUUUUUUUAACUGCCAUUAAUCUUUUUGUCAGCGAUUAUACGAGAAAAACUCAAAAAAAGAUAUUUCUGUUCUGGUGCGUUUGCUUAUCAAGAAAAAUGAUAUUUAAUAAAAAUAUAUUUUCUUUUUAAUAUACAGGUAAACCUUAAAAGUAGAAAAAGGAAGUUAAAAAUAUUAUAUAAUUAUACUCGUAUAUAUGAGACUUGGAGAAAAUUGUGUGUUAUGCAUAUGAUGGGAAUAGGGAAUUAUAUCAUCGCCUUCUCGUUGUUUAUUCCUCCUUAAAAUAUUUCACAAAAAAUUCAAUAAGUCAGUAUGUCAAAAGAACUCAUAAAAUAUUUAUGCGAGUGGAUCCAGGCUUGCAAAAGUUUCAUCUGCCCUUGAUCACAAGCACGUGCAGUAUUCACAAAAGCAUGUCUACGUAGAGUACGAUGUAGCUUGCGCCAGCAACUUUACCUAUACUUUAUGCGUUCGUCACUAGAUGUCGUACACGGAACGGUCUAACCCGUGAGAGAAAAUCAACACUACUGCUAUAUAAGAAGGCGUAAGCGCUGUGGAAUUCUGUCAUCGGUAAGGAUAUUACUGAUCGAUAUAGCAAAUGAUGAUCCAUGGGAGAUGAUCAUUAUGAUUAAACUCCACCCUACUGUCGUGGAUUAUCGCACUGCGGCAGUUAGGAAAUCUGAUGCUUACUUUCGAUGACUACUUCUUUUAACUUUUACCUUUACAAAUUACUCUAUGCUUCUUUUCGUCGAGAAGAUGAAAUUUUUUCAUGGUAACAAUAGCUUUUUUUUUAUUUGAGAACAAACACAAAAUCCACCACAAGAGCGAUGCAAUUCCGCGAAGUUACACGCUUCGAGUCGGUUAACCAGAACUCGUUGGACAUGUGUGCGUCACGUGACCGGAACAUGCGACACACUCGACGCUUAUCAGGUAGAAACAGGAAGAAUAGAGAAACUGUACAUGGGUGUCGAGAAACAAUGAAGUGAAAGUUUACGUGUCUCCUCUUUCUCAUUCACGGACAAGAAAGUUGGAGAGGAGAGAGAUCUCUUAUUAUCUGCGAAAAUGAAUUCUCGAGUCGAGUAAUAGCCGGCAAAUAGUUGCAUGUGUAAUGCCGAUAACAACAUCAAGUGCAGUUAAAUUCUAUGUGUUCGUAGUGUUGCCGCAGGUCACGUAUCCGAAUAUUGGUAUUCGGAAUUUCGGUAGGUCCUGUUUCAUUUUAUCCGAUGGUCUCGCAGUAGCGUUUCCGAGUGCUAGAACAUUUUUAUUGUUUGAUGUGAUUUUUUGCGCGCGAACGAGAUCGUAUCUUUGACCAUGCGGUAAAGAUUUUAAAUAAUUGAAAUGUGAGAUGUUAUAUUACCGCAAAAUUACUUCAGAGAGAAUGCAACAUUGACCAUUAGUAAGGAUAUUGUUUGAAUAAUAACGAAAAAAUCUUGGAGUAGAAAGAGAAGUAACAAGUCGCGUGAAAUUGAAAGCGUUUUUUCAUGCGUGAGGAAUGUUAAAAAAGCGAAAAUGGAGAAAGGUUGUAAUUCUCUCCAUGUUUCUCCCGUCCUUCGCGAAAUCAUAAUUCUUUUCUUCCAUGAAAAUCUUAUCUCGAAAGUCCGUUAAGUUAACUUUUAAUCCCUUUCCUUUCUCUUUCUCUCUCUUUCACUUUUUUCUUUCAGCGUUUUCUCGUUUCCAAGAAACACUCGCGUUUCAUCCGCUUAGCGAAUUUUCACGACUUCGUCGAGUUGCGAGAUGUUUCGCGGAUUUGUUUUACGUUAUUAUGGAAUCGUAAAUUUUCUCUACCGAAACGUGGAGCAUCUUUUCAGAACACUUUUCCCGCCCAUUUCCUGAAUCGAACCCCGCUCUCUCUCUCUCUCUCUCUCUCUCUCUCUCUCUCUCUCUCUCUUCUCUCUCCUCUCUCUCUCUCUCUCUCUCUCUCUCUCUCUCUCGUUCGCUUCCGGAGUGUUAUGUACUCGCAAAGCGUCGAGCUUCUUUAGCCGCGGCUGAAGCUUACUGAUAGGCUUCUCGAACCGGGCUCGAGUGCUCCGAUCUGCUUUGUCACGAUAAUGACUUUCCACCUUUUUUCAGACACACACUUUCACACCUCCUUCCUGCAACCAUUCCUCCUCCCUUUAAGAAUUUUUUAGCAUUGACUUCUCGAGUAACCCGAUUCCCCAUCAUGAAUGGAUUUCGACUUUGCGAUUUAGCGCGUUUUCUUCAUCGAUCUCCCGUUUUCCUCUCGUUCGUCAUGUCAGAUUGCACGGAUUUCACUAGAGUUGGAGUGAACGAUAUCGACAGUUUAGUAAAUUGCAUUCUUUGUAAAAAUAGUAAACUAUUCGAAACUUGUUUUUGGAUCUUUGGCAAAAGAAAAUUAAUUUUUUCGAGAUUUGCAAAUCGUUUAAUUUGAAUUUCAGUCAAAACUUGAGGAAAUUAUUCGCAAUAAUUUGGUAAAUUAUAUUGCGCAUAGAGCAACAUAGCAAGGUAAUCUUUCGAGAAAUGCUCACGGAAAUAUUAUAAUAAAUACAUUUUGCAAAUUUAACCCAUUCGAGACGAAGAUUUUAUUAUAAGACGAUCUCCAGGAGCCGGAAAUUUUUUUCUGUUUUUGUUGAAAAAUAAGAUAAGAGGAAAAUUUUAGAAGAUGAGAAGUGAACAUUGUAGACAUUGUUUGUAGACUUUCUCUGUUAUUUUAUUUCAGUAUUACACACAUGGUGUGUUAUCAGUCUCGAAUGGGCUAACAUACAGGGUGAGUUUUCGCUACUCUUUUGAGCAGUAAAGCGUAAAGCGAUUUGGGAGGAAAGAGGGAAAGCAACUGCUACAACACGACGGGAGUAAGCGUUACGCGAGACGUGAAGCCUUAAGAGGCGAAGGCGGCAUUCUUGGGAGAAGGAUCCCAAGAGUCUACGACGCGCUGACAAAUUGAGUUUUAGACCUCGCCGACCGUGUCCCUCCAUUCCGAUGGAUUUUUCCCACGGGUCAAUGGAACGGCUUCUCCCGCUACACGCUCCCAAUCCCACGGGAUAUCACGAAUGCCCCUCCCUCUCUCCUUACCGCUCCCCGGAAGGAAACGACCAAUGGUCACUAGUAUCGCUACUGGAUAAGUCAUAUUGUUAAAUAGAACAUGAUGACCUACUUUCUAGUGAUGGAUUCAAGACAAGACAAGACACUGUCUUGUCUUGAGCUUUUAAAAUCAAGAAUUACUACGUCUUGAUUUUGAUAUUCAAUUUCUUAUCUUGAUUCUUGAUUCUUACAAGAUUCUUGAUAUUUUUAUAAUAUCUAUAAAUAUUAAUUAUAAAUAUUAAUCUAUAAAUAUUAAUUUACAACCGAUUUUAUUAAAAGUUUUAAAAAAUUUUUACAAAAGAUAUCGAAAAAAAAUUUCGACAAAACAAUAUUGACACACACAAAAAAGAAAUUAAAAAAUUUGAAUGAAAUGUUAUUAUUAUUAAAAUAUAAACUAUUGUAUUGCUGGUAAACAUAGAUAUGAAUAUCAAAUAUUAAAUAUACUUAAAUAAAAAUACACAUUUUAUUGGCCACACUA